rnacentral:rRNA from 1 species
UACGGAGGGAGCUAGCGUUGUCCGGAAUUAUUGGGCGUAAAGAGCUCGUAGGCGGUUCGAUAAGUCGGACGUGAAAUCUCCACGCUCAACGUGGAGGGGCCGUUCGAUACUGUCGUGACUCGAGUCCGGUAGGGGAGUGUGGAAUUCCCGGUGUAGCGGUGAAAUGCGCAGAGAUCGGGAGGAACACGCGUAGCUAAGGCGACUACCUGGCCUGUUCUUGACGCUGAGGCGCGAAAGCUAGGGGAGCAAACGGG